rnacentral:rRNA from 1 species
CAGUAGCCGCGGGAAUACGUAGGUGGCAAGCGUUGUCCGGAAUUAUUGGGCGUAAAGGGCUCGCAGGCGGUUUCUUAAGUCUGAUGUGAAAGCCCCCGGCUCAACCGGGGAGGGUCAUUGGAAGCUGGGAAACUUGAGUGCAGAAGAGGAGAGUGGAAUUCCACGUGUAGCGGUGAAAUGCGUAGAGAUGUGGAGGAACACCAGUGGCGAAGGCGACUCUCUGGUCUGUAACUGACGCUGAGGAGCGAAAGCGUGGGGAGCGAACAGGAUUAGAUACCCCCGUAGUCCCUGUCUCUUAUAC